rnacentral:ncRNA from 1 species
AAUGAAAUGACUUCAAUAGGUCCCGUAUAGGGUUAAUAGGGAAGUACGGUGCGAUACCGUCACAGCCCCCGCUACUGUAAAUGAUGACAAAACCUCACUAAGCCACUGUAUCAAUGGGAAGGCCAGAGGGAGUAGAGUGAUUCAUGAGUCAGGAGACCUGCCUAUUGCUAAAUGUUACU